CAAGCAGAGAUUUUUGUUUCACUUAAAUUUCUUAAAAAAAUGGUACCUACCCGUUAUGAAAUGUCUGCUACAUACUCCUUGGUUCCUAAUAAUUGAUUCAGUUAGAUCUUCUCUCUUGAGCUGCUAACCACAUAUCCCUUCUUCGUUAAUAUGUAGGUAAUGCACAGAUUUUGUCACAGUAGGUAUACGAAAAAAUCCUUAUGGUACCGAUCUGCACGACUUCCACAAUUAACCAUAAUACUUGUUACAGGCAUUUUUCUUUCGGAAUAAAACUUAGUUCUCACUAUUCACUAUAUAUAU